AAGACUAUACUUUCAGGGACCAUUUCUAUAGUUUGUAACUAAAGAAGUGCAGCUGAAAGUGGUUGGUCUUGCUAACCCAGAGGAGGAGCUAAAGUGUUCUCUUCUGAGCAUGAAGUGAACAGUGUUGCUUUAAUGCAGCUGCUGUCUGUUAUUGUUAUUGAGGACCGUUCCUUCUUUUCUUUUGGAAAGUUAGAGGGAGAGAACACAGGCUGAGUG
rnacentral:snoRNA from 1 species